rnacentral:tRNA from 1 species
UCCGAAUUGGUGUAGUGGCUAACAUUUGACGCUCUCAACAUGAUUCAUCUGAGUGAUGAUGAUGAUCUUGUGCGGUGCCGUCAAGCCCGGGGUUCGAUUCCCCGAUUCGGAG